CCGCUCCUGUCCCACGCUGGCAACCCUCCGCGAUGGCCAGACCUCAUGCUCUCUCUCUCCUUUCUCUCCUCUCCCCGCUGCCCCACCUCUGCCCCUCUCUUCCAUCUCCUUCCCCUUCCCGCGUAGGCAGAAGCGUGAGCCCCUCCGUGCCCUCUGUUCCAUGCUUGGACUCUAUGUAGCACGAGGGAGUAUGUGGAGCCGUGCGGGAUCUGGCGGCGCGCAGGUCCGGCAGCAUGCGAGAUCUGGUGGAGGGAGAGGUGGAAGCUCUGAUUAGUUGUAACUUUCCUCCUCUGUUUAGUCGCCCGCAUCCCCCAUCGACAGAAUGUCCGAGACCUCCGCUGCGGCGACUGGUGCAUGACUCCUCCGCCAAGAGCGAUCCCAAGUGGGAAAGAUGUAAAUAAUUGAAGCAAAGGGGCCAGAAGAGUGUCGUCUUUGGUUGAGGUUGGCUAGAACAAACUCGAUCCUGCAGUUCUUUGUGCUGCGCAGAUUUGCCUCUGUUUUUGUGAUGGCCUGGAACAAGAUGCUACAUCUCAAUUUUCUGAUCCCAUCCAAAGUGUUUUUAUUUGUUUGAGAUUUAAUUAACCGUCUGUUUUUUUCUGAGCAAAUAAAGACAUCCAUUAUAUUAUAUCUCAUUAUAAACAGGUUGCUCUGAGAUGCACAAGAGUUGAAGAGCUAUUGUUUUUAGAAGAACUGCAUUCAAGGUGGUUGCUGCAGCUCCCCAGGAAUAAAUUAUCUUGGAAUGUCUCCGAUUGGUACAAAAAAUUAGGCCAUUGCUAGAUGCUGGCAUCAGUACAAAUUCUCCCCGCCAUGCAAUGGUCAACACCCUGAAAUGUGUUCUAGGAUGUCGCUUUGGUCGGUUGUUGAGAUUUUCCAAUUAGUGUGUUUAAGUUACAUGAUGCUUAGUUAUCCAUAUUUCAUAUAUUUCUCAACAUUCCUUUUGUAAUAUGUCAAAUCACCUAUUGCUCACCAUCUCUGUUUGGCAUUGAAAAAACUUAUUACUGUACUUAGUCAACCAGAUUCUUCGGUGAGCUAUUUAAAUGAUGGGAUUUUUCAUUUC